GAUGAACGCUGGCGGCAUGCCUAACACAUGCAAGUCGAACGGGGUUUAUAUAACAGAACUCUCCGGAGGGAAGAUAUAUAAACCUAGUGGCGGACGGGUGAGUAACGCGUGGGCAACCUGCCCUGUACCGGGGGACAACAGCCAGAAAUGGCUGCUAAUACCGCAUAAGCCUGCGGUGCCGCAUGGCACAGCAGGGAAAACCACGGUGGUACAGGAUGGGCCCGCGUCUGAUUAGUUAGUUGGCAGGGUAACGGCCUACCAAGACGAUGAUCAGUAGCCGGCUUGAGAGAGUGGACGGCCACAUUGGGACUGAGACACGGCCCAG
rnacentral:rRNA from 1 species